GUGGGGGAUAUUGCACAAUGGAGGAAACUCUGAUGCAGCAACGCCGCGUGAGGGAAGAAGGUUUUCGGAUUGUAAACCUCUGUCCUUAGGGACGAUAAUGACGGUACCUAAGGAGGAAGCUCCGGCUAACUACGUGCCAGCAGCCGCGGUAAUACGUAGGGAGCAAGCGUUGUCCGGAUUUACUGGGUGUAAAGGGUGCGUAGGCGGAUCUGCAAGUCAGGCGUGAAAUCCAUGGGCUUAACCCAUGAACUGCGCUUGAAACUGUGGGUCUUGAGUGAAGUAGAGGUAGGCGGAAUUCCCGGUGUAGCGGUGAAAUGCGUAGAGAUCGGGAGGAACACCAGUGGCGAAGGCGGCCUACUGGGCUUUAACUGACGCUGAGGCACGAAAGUGUGGGUAGCAAACAGGAUUAGAAACCCUAGUAGUCC
rnacentral:rRNA from 1 species